GCUCUGCAACAAAACAUUGCUAAAUCAAACCAAACUUUAUUUAUACAGCACAUCUACGGUGAAUGCAUUUCAAGGUGCUUCUCUCCCACGUACACAUUUGUCAUUGUGAUAUGCAGCGGAGCCUGGCCCCAGGGCUUAGUGUUUACAGGGUGGGCUAUAUGUGCGUGUGGUGGGAGGGGGAAUGUUGUUGCACCUGUUCUUGGGCUUGCUAGGCUGGUUGUGGAUGACUGGUUGCCCAGGGGGACUAACCAGCCAGGGUAAUGACUCACUCACUGGUUUGGGAAAGGGGAUAUUUGUAAUUUUGCACACAAGCACAUUUUAGCUUUGCAUUUGACCCCACCUCUUCAAAUGGAUAAGGUACAGGGAGCUGCCACAGUAAGCACCCGAGUGGCAGUUAGGUUCAAAUGCCUUGGGUGGGGACAGAAUGCCUAUUCAGGGAUUUUUUUUAUGUUCUUUAUAAGUCUCUCACAUUGCUUGGUCCAUAUUUUAAUAGAACAAUGCUUGGAACUGUGGGCAUUAUCUGGUGUUUAUAGAUCAUGAUUACAUCUUAAUUGGGUUUGGUUCUGAACACUGACCUAGAGGUCGUGCUCUGAAAUAAGGUGACUGUGCAUCUGGAGGGCAUUCAUUAAAACAUCUGGAUAAAAACCACACAAUGUAGCAGCUACAUAUUAGUUCACCAAGGCAACCGAGUGGGUGGAUGUGGAGUUACUUCAGAUACUCAUUGAAAAGAUUACGUUUCCCAUGUUCUUAAUGGGCAGACACUUUCAGUGGGGGGGAGCUUGUUCCACCAUUGGAGUGCAAGGACCGAGAUAGAGCAGUUUGGCAAUUGUCUUCAAGUGACCCAGGUGCACUUCAGCUCCAUCUACUGGACGGAUAACCUUUCCUUCUCGUUUAGAGUUCUAUGUUACAGAGCAAAAUGUAUGGUUCCAUCAUUUGUUACAUUUUCCCAGUCCUGUGCCAGCAAAGAGCCCCUAAAACAUCACACUACAACCACCAUGCUUGCCCUUUUAAUAUGGUGUCAACACUGGAAUGCAAUGUUUCAUUUUCUUUUUUUUACCAGACGACAACAUGGUGGUAGUGGGAUGUUUUGAGGAUGCCUGGCUGUCUCAGUUCUUGUGUAACUUAUCUUUUCCCAGCAUGUCCUGGGGGAGGGAGGUAACAUAGAAGAGACAGGAGAGGAUCAGAUUUCCUGGUCUGAUCACACUCCAGAUACACCCUCAGACAGUUCAGGGAUCUUGGCUUGCUGUGAUCUUCAACUCCCAAAUCCACUGGGCAUUGGUGUAAGAGGUCAGGGCAUUAGAUUCCGAUUAUAAUAAAGCUUUUCUUAGUACAUGGAUAUAGAAAAGACUGCAGUAUUGUGAAGAGACGGGAAAGUAAAUCAGUACAACCAAAACAGCUUGAGUCUAGACAAGAUAAACGCAUUCAACAGUCUGACGCAGUUUAUACCAACACCACAACAUUCCAAAGCUGCUUCUUUGUAUCUCAUUGACUUACUGAUAAACCCUCAGAAAGACAAAUAGUAUAUUUAUUGUAGGGUUUCACAACAUAAAGAGAAUAGUGAGCCGGUGGACUGACUGAUUUACAGUCUGCAUGGUGUUGAUCACAAGUAAAAAUAUCUCCUUGUUAAUGUAUCACUCACCUUACCUGCACCAAACGCCAUCUAUUGAACCAGUCUUUUUUCUUUCCGUUUUUCAUAAUUGCUAAGACAUUUCAUGAAACCCACACCCAUUUUCUCAAAUCUUCAAACUACAUUCACAAAACCCUGACACCUCUGUCAAAAUCAAACACACACCUCAAAACCAUUCCAUCUGUUCUCAAAAUCAACACCACAGAGCAUCCAUUACAUACAGAUAAAAAAUAGUAAUAAUAGUAAAC
ensembl:lncRNA